UUAAUCAAAUUUGAGGCCAUAGCAGAAGAGCUCAUGGUGCAGCCUGUCAGAUUCCAAUGAAUCUGCAAAUUCUCCA
rnacentral:ribozyme from 1 species